AGCAGCAUGGCAUAGUGGUUUGAGCAUUGGACUACGACUCUGGAGACCAGGGUUCGAAUCCCUGCUCAGCCA
rnacentral:tRNA from 1 species